AUUGGGGCUAGAGUCACGCUUGGAUAUUAGCUAUUGCUUUAGUGUGCUAGAGUCCUUGAAGAAUAACUGCUGACCUUAUUCACUGAUGUGGGCCUCAUGGCACAGUCACUAGAUUAGUGACAUAA
ensembl:snoRNA